CAGCAGCCGCGGUAAUACAGAGGGUGCGAGCGUUAAUCGGAUUUACUGGGCGUAAAGCGUGCGUAGGCGGCUUCUUAAGUCGGAUGUGAAAUCCCUGAGCUUAACUUAGGAAUUGCAUUCGAUACUGGGAAGCUAGAGUAUGGGAGAGGAUGGUAGAAUUCCAGGUGUAGCGGUGAAAUGCGUAGAGAUCUGGAGGAAUACCGAUGGCGAAGGCAGCCAUCUGGCCUAAUACUGACGCUGAGGUACGAAAGCAUGGGGAGCAAACAUGAUUAGAUACCCCCGUAGUCCCUGUCUCUUAUAA
rnacentral:rRNA from 1 species